AUUGAACGCUGGCGGCAUGCUUUACACAUGCAAGUCGAACGGCAGCGCGGGCUUCGGCCUGGCGGCGAGUGGCGAACGGGUGAGUAAUGCAUCGGAACGUGCCCAGUAGUGGGGGAUAGCCCGGCGAAAGCCGGAUUAAUACCGCAUACGACCUGAGGGUGAAAGCGGGGGACCGAAAGGCCUCGCGCUAUUGGAGCGGCCGAUGUCGGAUUAGCUAGUUGGUGGGGUAAAGGCUUACCAAGGCGACGAUCCGUAGCUGGUCUGAGAGGACGACCAGCCACACUGGGACUGAGACACGGCCCAGACUCCUACGGGAGGCAGCAGUGGGGCAUUUUGGACAAUGGGGGCAACCCUGAUCCAGCCAUGCCGCGUGCGGGAAGAAGGCCUUCGGGUUGUAAACCGCUUUUGUUCGGGAAGAAAUCCUCUGGGCUAAUACCCCGGGGGGAUGACGGUACCGGAAGAAUAAGCACCGGCUAACUACGUG
rnacentral:rRNA from 1 species